ensembl:piRNA 21ur-1488 ncRNA
UACACUGCUGUUGGAAAAUUU